GUUUUCGUUUUGUUUACUUGUUUUGAUUUAUGUGGUAUACGUGUUGAUGAAGCACUUAAAAUGUAUCUUGAAGAAUUUCAACUAAGCAGAGAAUCCCCUCUAAUAUCACUUGUAUCAGACCCAUUUACAAAAUACUAAAAUGUAAUGGGGAACAUUUAGCAAAUGCUGAAUGUGCAUUUUUAUUAUCAUAUGUAAUUAUUAAGCUAAAUGUCUACCAACACAAUUGAACUGUUAGACCGAUAGAUCAACCAAGGACAAAAGAAUCAUUUAAAGAUGAAAUGAAAUUGUUAUGACUGCAGAAAAUACUGGUGCUAUCUAAGGCAACUAUUUAUGGAAAAUUUUGUUAUGACGUGCAUCUGAUAAAUAUGGACCUUACAUACAAACAUUGAUUGCAGUUUUUGACUAUAAACUAUUUUCUGUUUGUUGGGUCCUACUUUAGCUGCAGCAUUAAUUGGAAAAGUUUAUGAACCAGAGGGUGAAUUAGCUCUUGAGUCACAGGAAAGUGAAAAUGCUGCAAGUUUCCUAUUAGAAAUGCUUCUCAAAAUAUUUUUACAAAAUCAAGAUAGAGUGAACAUCAUGUGGGAAGCAGUUAAACAACACCUGCACAACCUUAUAACAGGUGCUCUUGAACAUAAUCAUGUGUUUAUUUUGCAACGCACUGUUCUUGGACUAAUGAGGUUAGCAUUUCACCUUGAAACCUUAUGAGACGCAAAGAAAUAAGUUCAAUGUCAUUAAAUGUUUUACUAUUGCUCAACAAAUAUGCUUUACAAAUAGUUGGCCGUCAAAUAUCAUUUGGAAUGUAUGAAUUAUCAAACCAGAGAUGAUUGGACAUUAAUCUUUAUAGAAUACCGGUACAUUUUGUCAAUAUUUGUAUUUUAUAU